CCCGCAACUACGCACACAGUCAAGCAAGGGAGGGACUGCAGCAAAGAACAAGAGACCGACAGGCUUGCACAAUGGGUGUAAGAAAAAGAAUGGAAUACAGUAUCACGGGACCGCAGUGCAGUACAAGAACAGCCAUAAACUACGGGUUUACACCAUGGGUUUUCUCAGUUUUCUGAAUCGGCUGCCUGGCCCUCGAGGAGGAGCUAUGCGACGUCCCAACCCGUCCCAGCCCCCCCCUCCCCUCCUCUCCCUGCCACUGUAAAUCAUCGGAGCCAGAGGAGCGGUUACAUCAUCGGCAUGCUCAGCCGCCUGAGUGCAGAGGGACACGGGGCUCCUGCAGGGAUGGCACGUGUGGGCGGCCCUGUCGCCCCGGCGACGUGCGCCACCCCCCACGACGGCUCCCCCCCACCCCCCCGGGGACAGCGCAUGCCAGGCUCGCACCUCAGCGGUUCGCCUCGGUCGCGUUCCCAAAAGAACAUGGCCUGACCCGAAUUACCCUCCGUUCACGAGCCUGUCUUCAUUACCAUAAUGUGAGCAGUCAGCAAGGGGAAACCCUGGCAAAGAGCUCAGAGCACACACGCUGACAGACAGUGUAGAACACAGAAAGUGCACGGCAAUUUGUCCCUGUAACUAACCGAGACAGCGUUCCAGCUACACAAAAUUAUGUGUACACGUAUAAGUCUGCUGUGCUUAUAAUGCUGUAGCCUCAAUGUUAAAUCACCAUUACCACGGGCACAUUGGUAAAUGAGAUGAGACCUGCUAUUGCUAUGCUAAUGUUAUCUUCUCUCCUGAGCCAUGCAUUUCUGCUUCCUCUUUCUCAGAAAUGCUCCGAUCCACUAGCUUCUCCAAAUCCAGUGUCACAGCCUUGAGAGAUGGCACUAACCAUGAACCCCCGACUGACUGAGCUGAUAAAACGUGCUCUCUGUCAGCCCUGGCUGAUAAUGCUAACCAGCAGUGUUGACCAGCCAACCCUGACCAAGUUAAUUGUGUGUGCUGACCAGUAGUGCACCCCGAUCAUUCCCGUUGUUUAGGAGAGCACAUGCAGGGUUGUGAGCGGUUGGCUGUAAGAAUUUUUUUUUUCUCUGGUUACCGCUGUCAUCCUUUAUGAAGGAGCUCAGCAGGUGUCGUAUUGCUCACAGCCUCUAAUGAACACACAGGAACAGAAUGCGUCCAGGAUAAUGAGCAUGUCUGACAGUGAGUUGAUUGACAGCACUUCAAUCAAAAGAAAUCUGGCUAGAAGGAACAAGAUGGAAACAACAAAGCAGUGAUUGCUCAAAUCGAUCAGACAGUCCAUGAAAGGGAAACCACAACAAACCCUUUUCCAAAUUACAUAAAGAUUAAAGGUAAACUGUAGUCACUUUCAUUACCCAACUUUCAAAUGUGAACACGGCACAAAAUAAUUCUAUAUCAAAGAAUGUGUUGGGAAGUUGUCUACUAUCAAUACAACAAAUCUUUCGGCUUCAUCAGCUUUUAAAGGAAUGGAGAAUAGCCUACGUAUAUGUAAAAUGUGCAGAGACUGUAGCCUAUUGUGGUAGGUUACUGCCUUUGAAAUUAGAAUUGUCCUCUUUUCUGGGAUGCAAAUAUUGCUGGGAAA